CUCUCAGCUGAUCGGGGAGCGGAAGCGCCUCCCCGCUUGGACGGCGCCGGACUUUGCCUGGGGAAGCGCGCCGCGGAGCCGGGCUUCAUUCCGGGAGCAUCUCGCUGCUUUCUCCCUCCCGCGCUUGGGCCAUGGAAGGGAAGCCGAGCGCGCCUCCGUCCUUCCCGCGGGGCCCCCGGCGGCUCAGCCCCUGACAAAAGCAGCCCUGAGCCGGAGACUCGCGCGCCCGGCGCAUCGCCCUCCGCGAAAGGCAGGGAAAGACAUAUAUAUUUUAAAAAGGAUUCCUCGCCGACCUCGAAAGAAGGAAGGAAGGAAGGAAGGAAGGGGGAAGUCCUGCCCCGGCGCCCCCUUCCCCGGCAGAGUGCGAUGAGCGCAUCUUGGGGGGCGUCGUCGGCAUGGCAUCCUUCAAGCCCUUCGGCCAGGCUGGGCCGAGAGAAGACGAGGAGGACGGAGGCGACUUGGACCGAUCUCUCCAGCAGAUGCUUCGGGCGAUAGUGGAGGAGAGGAACCGCGUCAACAUCCGCCAGGAGAUCAGCGGGCUGGGUUGUUUCAAAGAUGACCGCAUUGUAUUCUGGACUUGGAUGUUUUCCACUUACUUUAUGGAGAAAUGGGCCCCCCGGCAAGAUGACAUGCUCUUCUAUGUCCGAAGGAAACUGUCAUACGUUGGUGGAGACAAUACAGAUGGGAAGAAGCAGGUUGAAGUGGAAGUGUACCGCAGGGAUUCUAAAAAGCUGCCUGGCCUGGGAGAUCCAGAUAUCGACUGGGAGGAAAGUGUCUGCUUGAACCUUAUCCUUCAAAAGCUGGAUUACAUAGUGACUUGUGCGGUGUGUACUCGUUCAGAUGGAGGGGAUAUCCACAUUCAUAAAAAGAAAUCCCAGCAAGUCUUUGCAUCUCCAAGUAAGCACCCUAUGGAUAGCAAAGGGGAGGAAUCGAAGAUCAGUUAUCCAAACAUAUUUUUUAUGAUUGACAACUUUGAAGAGGUGUUCAGCGAUAUGACUGUAGGAGAAGGUGAGAUGGUCUGUGUGGAGCUGGUGGCCAGUGACAAAAGCAACACCUUCCAAGGAGUCAUCUUCCAGGGAUCGAUCCGCUACGAAGCCCUCAAGAAGGUCUAUGACAAUAGGGUAAGCGUUGCAGCGAAAAUGGCACAAAGGAUGUCCUUUGGCUUUUACAAAUACAAUAAUAUGGAAUUUGUGCGAAUGAAAGGGCCACAAGGAAAAGGACACGCAGAAAUGGCCGUGAGUCGCGUUUCAACUGGUGACACGUCUCCCUAUGGGACAGAGGAAGAUUCAAACCCAGGUUCACCUCUGCAUGAGAGAGUCACUUCAUUCAGCACACCUCCAACUCCGGAACGCAACAACCGCCCUUCUUUCUUCUCCCCAUCCCUCAAAAGGAAAGUGCCGCGGAAUCGAAUUGCUGAAAUGAAGAAAUCCCAUUCUGCCAAUGACAGUGAAGAGUUCUUUAGGGAUGAUGAUAGUGGAGCCUUGUUGUAUUUUGGCAGAUCUGCACAACGCAACAAACCUACGCUCGCGGUCUUUGUCUGGAACGGGAAGAUCUCUGGUGGGCUCAUGGCUGAAGCUAAACAGAACAGAUGAAAACUUCCUUCUCUAUGCACAUCUAACCUACGUCACAUUGCCAUUGCAUCGGAUCUUAACAGAUAUUCUGGAGGUGCGGCAGAAACCGAUUCUGAUGACAUAGCAGAGAGCUGGGCACUGCCUUGGAAGCCAUGCAGCCAAGUGCCUAAAAACAACAACUACAGUGCUCUUCUGUCACAGCAGCACCACCUAGCGUCAGAAACUUAACAUAACACUGAAAAAAGGGAUGUUUUGGGAAUUACCAGCCAGCCAUUCAAAAAGUGCCUCUUCCUCCCUCCCUCUGCUAUACAUACUAUAUACUCCCUUAAAAAAAACGAAAAAAGACUACAUCUCUUUAUAGUUAUGACUGGCAGAAAUAACUUGACCAAUAAAGAAGACAAAGGGGGACAUAAAGAACAAAAAGAGCCCCCAACAACACAAAAGUUGGGGCUGUGUUUAAAACUAUGCUUUAUGAACCAUUUGUUACAGUGUUUACUUCAUAACUGAAAACCAACCAACCUGUACAGAAUGUAUUAACCUUUAUAUAUUUCGAGAGAAAUGUCCAUAGGAUUUCAUACUGAUGUACCAAUGAACUUCAAUGAACUUCUGAGAGAUGGUUGAGAACACUCCUUUGUUGCAUCAUAAAACAACUUUGUGUAUGUGUUUUAAAGUUGAUAGGGUAGCAGAAUAGUAUAACAGCAAAGGGAAGUUAGGGACUUAAAUGGAGCAGACCAAAUGGAACUUGAAGUCUUGGUCUUUACACUUCCCAUGAGUGAUAUAGUUUUAAGGCUCACGUAGCAAAAACUGAUUCCGCAAUGACAUCUUCACCUACCAAAGAUCAGCGAAAAGUACAGCCAAAAAGGCUUGAAAGAGUGAGCUCAACACUUUGAAGAAAUGUGCUAAAUGUGAUUUGGUUUCAUUAUGGCUAUUACUUCUAGGAGCAAACCUGUCUCUAGUAGCAUAGAAUGUCUGCAUAUGAGAAGCAGGAAACACAAACUUAAAGACUCUAGUACCAAAAAACGCAGCAGACCUCAGCCAGUUACCACACCAUUGGAAAUUAAAACUAAUUGAAGUGGG